rnacentral:misc_RNA from 1 species
CCCCUCGAAAUGAAUGCUGUUCUUUGAAAACUCAGCCCCUGCAUAGUUUAUCUUCUUUUGUCCUCCUCUUCCUUUCCUGGGUUCUAAAAAACAGUGCUCACCGAUUCAUUUUCAGCUCCGCACUCGNNNNNNAUCUAUGUUGAGAUUCAAAUGGCGAAAUUCUGGUGUUAUCAGGGUCGUAAGUGAGUAGCUGCUUCGGCCUUGGAGAGAAACAGGAGUUUCGGUACUAAAAAUUUC